CGUUGGGGGUUGUUUCUGCAUGCGAGUGGACCGAGGUGACUAGAAUAUCACUUGCAUGUCGAAAGAUGAGGACGAGUGAGUAGCGCGUGGUAAUCGCGCAUGUAAGAGUGGCAUAUGUGUGAGAAGCCGAAGAUUAUGGCAUAUAGCUUGGAAUCCUUCAUAAUGAUGGAUGGAAGAUGGUUUCGCCUAUCGGGUGCAGAUGGGCCCGCGGCGCAUUAGUUAGUUGGUGAGGUAACGGCUCACCAAGGAGGUAAUGCAUAGCCGACGUGAGAGGGUGAUCGCCCCCUGUGGGGGUGAGCCACGGCCCAGGGUCUUACGGGAGGCACCAGUUGGGAAUGUUUGGCAAAGGGGGAAAUUUUGCCCAAGCAGCGCCACCUGAGUGAAGAAGCCUUUCGGGUGGUAAAACUCCGUUGUUAGGGAAGACCUAGUUCAAGAGUGAAGGAUCGAACCUGGCCGGUCCUUCACCAGAAAGCCCCGGGUUAAUUCCGUGCCACCACCCCCGGUAAUCGGUAGGUGGCAAGCGUUUUCCGGAAUUAUUGGGCGUAAAGCGCGCGCAGGCGGUUUCUUAAGUUUGAUGUGAAAGCCGGGGGCUCAACCGUGGAGGGUCAUUGGAAACUGGGGAACUUGAGUCCAGAAGAGAAAAUGGGAAUUCCGCGUGUAGCGGUGAAAUGCGUAGAGAUGUGGAGGACCACCAUUGGGGAAGCAGGUUUUUUGGUCGGUACUUGCCGUUGAGGCGCGAAACCGUGGGGGAGCAACCAGGAUUAGAUCCCUUGGUAGUCCACGCCGUAACCGAUGAGUGCUAAGUGUUAGACGGUUCCCGCCCUUCAGUGCUGCAGCUAACGCAUUAAGCACUCCGCCUG
rnacentral:rRNA from 1 species